GGGCCCGCACAAGCGGUGGAGCAUGUUGGUCAAUUGGAUGAUACGCCAAGAACCUUACCAGGGCUUGACAUGGUCGGGACAGCCGGUGAAAGCCGGUCUCCGUAGCAAUACGGUCCGAUCACAGGUGGUGCAUGGUUGUCGUCAGCUCGUGUCGUGAGAUGUUGGGUUAAGUCCCGCAACGAGCGCAACCCUCGCUGGAUGUUGCCAUCGGUAACGCCGGGAACUCUUCCAGGACUGCCUGAGUAAUCAGGAGGAAGGAGGGGACGACGUCAAAUCGGCAUGCCCCUUACGCCCUGGGCUGCAAACGUGCUACAAUGGCCGGUACAAAGGGUUGCCAAGCCGCGAGGUGGAGCCAAUCCCCCAAAGCCGGUCCCAGUUCGGAUUGGGUGUCUGCAACUCGACCCCAUGAAGGCGGAAUCGCUAGUAACCGUGGAUCAGCAAUGCCACGGUGAAUACGUUCCCGGGCCUU
rnacentral:rRNA from 1 species